rnacentral:rRNA from 1 species
GACGAACGCUGGCGGCGUGCUUAACACAUGCAAGUCGAACGGAAAGGCCCUGCUUUUGUGGGGUGCUCGAUUGGCGAACGGGUGAGUAACACGUGAGUAACCUGCCCUUGACUUUGGGAUAACUUCAGGAAACUGGGGCUAAUACCGGAUAGGAGCUCCUGCUGCAUGGUGGGGGUUGGAAAGUUUCGGCGGUUGGGGAUGGACUCGCGGCUUAUCAGCUUGUUGGUGGGGUAGUGGCUUACCAAGGCUUUGACGGGUAGCCGGCCUGAGAGGGUGACCGGCCACAUUGGGACUGAGAUACGGCCCAGACUCCAACGGGAGGCAGCAGUGGGGAAUAUUGCACAAUGGGCGGAAGCCUGAUGCAGCAACGCCGCGUGCGGGAUGACGGCCUUCGGGUUGUAAACCGCUUUCGCCUGUGACGAAGCGUGAGUGACGGUAAUGGGUAAAGAAGCACCGGCUAACUACGUG